rnacentral:rRNA from 1 species
CAAGCUAGAAAGGGCCAACGGUGGAUGCCUUGGCGCUAGGAGCCGAUGAAGGACGUGGCAGGCUGCGAAAAGCCCCGGGGAGCCGUCAAGCAGGCAUCGAUCCGGGGAUGUCCGAAUGGGGAAACCCGGCUGGGGUCAUGCCCAGUCACUCCGGUCUGAACACAUAGGGCCGGUAGAGGGAACCGGGGGAAGUGAAACAUCUCAGUACCCCGAGGAAAGGAAAGCAACAGCGACUCCCUGAGUAGCGGCGAGCGAAACGGGACCAGCCCAAACCGAUGCGGUGUCAAAGCCCGGUGGCGUUGCCGUGUCGGGGUUGCGGGACCCACCCGACGGUGCACCGGAACCGUCAGGGAGUUACAAAGGUGGUGGUUAGCCGAACACAGCUGGAAAGCUGGGCCACAGGAGGUAACAGCCCUGUAGGCGAAAACCAGCCACCCUCCCGGUGGAGUUCCCAAGUAGCACGGAGGAUAUUCCGUGUGAAUCUGCGAGGACCACCUCGUAAGGCUAAGUACUCCAAUCGACCGAUAGUGAACCAGUACCGUGAGGGAAAGGUGAAAAGUCACCCCGGUGAGGGGAGUGAAAUAGAACCUGAAACCGUUGGCUAACAAGCAGUGGGAGCGCCGCCUAAUCGGCGGCUGACCGCGUGCCUAUUGAAGAAUGAGCCAGCGAGUUAUCGGUUGUGGCAAGCUUAAGGCCGCAGGGCGGAGUAGGCGUAGCGAAAGCGAGUCUGAAUAGGGCGCUGCACGUCGGAACGAUGUGUAGUACAGCCGAAGACCCGAAACCGGGUGAUCUAACCAUGGGCAGGGUGAAGCGAGGGUAAGACCUCGUGGAGGCCCGAACACCCAGGUUGAAAACUAGUGGGAUGACCUGUGGAUAGGGGUGAAAGGCCAAGCGAACCCGGAGAUAGCUGGUUCUCCCCGAAAUAUUUAGGGCUAGCGUCGCGUGUUGAGUCGCAGCGGGGGUAGAGCACUGGAUUGGGCUAGGGGGCCACAAGCUUACCGAACUCAGCCAAACUCCGAAUCCCGUAGCGUCAGAGCGCGAGCAGUCAGACCACGGGGGAUGAGCUUCGUUGGUCGAGAGGGAAACAGCCCAGACCGCCAGCUAAGGCCCCUAAAUGUGUGCUAAGUGGGAAAGGAUGUGGAAUCGCCCAAGACAGCCAGGGAGGUUGGCUUAGAAGCAGCCAUCCUUUAAAGAGUGCGUAACAGCUCACUGGUCGAGUGACUCUGCGCGGAAAAUGUAACGGGGCUCAAGCACACCGCCGAAGCUGCGGGAUCCGGCCUUCGGGCCAGAUCGGUAGGGGAGCGUCGUGCAGCCCGUGAAGCGGCGGCGUAAGCCAGCCGUGGAGGCUGCACGAGUGCGAAUGCCGGCAUGAGUAGCGAAUGAAGAGUGAGAAUCUCUUCCGCCGAAUGUCCAAGGGUUCCUGGGGAAGGCUCGUCCGCCCAGGGUAAGUCGGGACCUAAGGCGAGGCCGCGAGGCGUAGUCGAUGGACAACGGGUUGAUAUUCCCGUACCACUCUGUGCGCGCCCGGGCCGAAUCUGGUGUGCUAAGGAAAGCCCUUCGGGGCCUACCGACCCCACCAGUAGUAGGCCAGCGAUGGGGUGACGUGGAAGGGUAAGCGGACCCGGGCGUUGGUUGUACCCGGGGUAAGCGUGUAGGCCGGGGACCAGGCAAAUCCGGUCCCCACACAAGGCUGAGACGCGAUGCCGAGCCGCUCUAGGCGAAGCCGCUGAACGCCCAUGCCACCGAGAAAAACCUCUAGCGAGUGCACAGGGUGCCCGUACCCCAAACCGACACAGGUGGACAGGUAGAGAAUACCGAGGCGAGCGAGAGAACCGUGGUUAAGGAACUCGGCAAAUUGGCCCCGUAACUUCGGGAGAAGGGGCGCCCCGGUAGGGUGUAGGACUUCGCGUCCGAAGCCCGAGGGGGCCGCAGUGACCAGGCCCAAGCGACUGUUUACUAAAAACACAGCAGCGUGCGAAGUCGCAAGACGAUGUAUACGCUGUGACGCCUGCCCGGUGCCGGAAGGUUAAGUGGAGGGGUUAGCCGCAAGGCGAAGCUCCGAAACUAAGCCCCGGUAAACGGCGGCCGUAAGCAAGUUGCGGCUCCAAGGGGGUAACUCCUUGGAUCAAACCCUGCUAUAUGCUGGGAACCCCGAGUAUCCGGCGGUACUCGUCUGCGCUUCUGUCACAGCCUCGUGGUAGUGACAGAGGCAUGGGCAGUGACAAUCCGACCGGUGCGGGCAAUCAGCAGGAAAGGCCCGAUUCCGAAGCCUGGCUCGAUCGAAUCCCUCUCGACGUGGGACACUAUGUCGCGGGAUUCAUCGACGGAGAGGGAAGCUUCAAUGUCCCUAUCCGUCGGGAGCGAGAUCGAUCUCUCCCAUGGCGUGUAGGCUUGUCGUUCAACGUUUCCCAGCUCGGAGAAGAGCUUCCGGAGCUGCUCCGGAGCGCAUUCGGGUGCGGAACCGUACGACGACGAGCCGACGGCGUGGUGUACUUCGAGGUAACGAGGCCGGAUGACCUGCGCAGGAGGGUGUUUCCGUUCUUACGGAGAUUUCCGCUGCGGGGUCCGAAGAGAGCCGACCUCGAAGUAUUCGAAAGAAUCGCAUCGCUGAUCGAGUCGGGUGUUCACCGCACCCCGGAGGGACAUCGUCUGAUCAUCGAGCUUCGCGGCCCGAUGAAUCGCGGUGGCAAAAGGCGCCGCACAGACGAGGAGCUACUCCGUGUGCUGAGGGAUUGGGAAUCCUCAGAGGCCAUACGCAGGGCUCCGUGUUGAAGCGCACGGAUGAAGAUAUGGUCCACGCCCCAUGGCGACAUGGGGAGACACGUGAACUAUAACGGUCCUAAGGUAGACGCUCUCUUUCGUGCGAGAGCACUGCCCCCCACGAUGGCGACGUCGUGGAGAGCAGCUGGCUAUAUGCUGGGAACCCCGAGUAUCCGGCGGUACUCGUCUGCGCUUCUGUCAUAGCCUCGUGGUAGUGACAGAGGCAUGGGCAGUGACAAUCCGACCGGUGCGGGCAAUCAGCAGGAAAGGCCAGGUAUCGAGCAAUGGGUGGUCGGGUUCGUAGAUCGUGAACAACCGUCACGACGAUCACCGGGAACCGCUAGUGCGGUGGUCGGUUGAAGCGCCGGCGAGAGCUGGUCGAGAAUAUCGUUCCGUUCUUCGAACGCAACCCAUUGAUAACCGCAAAGCGGAGAGACUUCGAGCUCUUCGCCGAGGUCUUGAGGCUGAUGGAGAUCAACGCCCAUCUGACGCCUCAGGAACUCGAGGCGAUCGCAGCACUCACGGAGCGCAUGCAUCGCCGGAAGCGGUCUCGUUACCUGGAAUCCUCAGAGGCCAUACGCCAGCCAACUCGGCUCCGACCGCCGAGUUGAAGAUAUGGUCCGAGCCUCAUGGCGACAUGAGGAGUGACUCGAGCGAAAUUCCUUGUCGGGUAAGUUCCGACCUGCACGAAUGGCGUAACGACUUGGGCACUGUCUCAACCACGGACUCGGUGAAAUUGCAGUGUGAGUGAAGAUGCUCACUACCUGCGGCAGGACGGAAAGACCCCGGAACCUUUACUGCAGCUUGACAUUGGAGUCUGGCGGUCGAUGUGUAGGAUAGGUGGGAGGCUAGGAAGCGCGGGCGCCAGCUCGCGUGGAGCCGCCGUUGAAAUACCACCCUUCGAUCGACGGGCUUCUAACCUCGGUCCGUUAUCCGGAUCAGGGACAGUGUCUGGCGGGCAGUUUCACUGGGGCGGUGGCCUCCUAAAGUGUAACGGAGGCGCCCAAAGGUUCCCUCAGCCUGGUCGGCAAUCAGGCGUUGAGUGUAAAGGCACAAGGGAGCUUGACUGCGAGACCUACAAGUCGAGCAGGGACGAAAGUCGGGCUUAGUGAUCCCACGGUUGCAUGUGGGAUGCGCCGUGGCUCAUCGGCUAAAAGGUACUCCGGGGAUAACAGGCUUAUCACGCCCAAGAGUCCAUAUCGACGGCGUGGUUUGGCACCUCGAUGUCGGCUCGUCGCAUCCUGGGGCUGGAGCAGGUCCCAAGGGUCGGGCUGUUCGCCCGUUAAAGCGGCACGCGAGCUGGGUUUAGAACGUAGACUCACUGCGUCCCCUGGGAGCAAUCCCAGGGUGCUCACCGACUCAUAUCGGGGGAACCUGUCACAGGUCCGAACUACUGUGGCAGGCAAUCCCGAGGGAAGGCCGGUGUCAUGGAGUCGUUCUGGCCAUAUCUGGCAGGCUUUUUCGACGGCGAUGGAAGUAUUCACUUCCAGAUCGUUCGUCAGAACGAGUAUCGAUGGGGCUUCUACAUCAGACCGAGCUUGGUGUUUUAUCAAGCUACGGAAGCCAAGGGUGGUUUGGUGGAAAUCCGGCGUCGCCUAGACAUGGGACGGCUCCGGGACAGGUCCGGCGGUAUGUCGGACCUCACGAUCACGAACCGCCGCGCGAUACAAGGCCUGUUGCAGCGGAUGGCACCGUAUGUGAUCUUCAAGCGGCGGCAUGUCGACGCUGCUCUGGAGCUCCUCAGGAGGUUGCCUCCGCCCAGGGAUCCGAUGGGUUUCCUGGAGAUAUGCCAGGCUGUCGACGACUUCGCAUCCCUAAACUUCUCGAAGAGCAGGACUGUUACGACAGCGACGGUCCGGGAAGCUCUCGAGAGGCAUGGGUACAUCGGCCCCCGUAACGACUGAACCCGCAAGGGUGAGACGGGUUGUCGCGGCCUUUAAAGAGGCCAAAUCUAAGGCGUCCGUCAUACGUCGGCCCCCCGAAAGGGGGUGGAGGGAUAGUCUGACACCCUCAGCGAUGAGGGAAAACGAUGUGCGUGAGACAGUAAGUGACCGUUGCUGUCUAUAAAUCCGGCUAUAUGCUGGGAAAUCCGGAAUGUAUCCUGCGGUACUCGUCCAUGUCGCACCCCGCCGGUAUGUUGGGGUGGCGACGAUGGGCAGUGACAAUCCGACAGGUGAGCCGGACUAUCAGCAGGGAAGGCUCGGAGCCUAUCUCAGUGGGUUCGCUGAUGGAGAGGGUACUUUCUCGAUCGGUCUUCAGCGAAGGCCAGACCUCAGAUUCGGGUACCAAAUCGUGCCUGAAUUUCGGGUCAGCCAAAACGAAGAGCGCGCCGAGGUCUUGGAACUGUUUCGGUCCACGCUGGGCUGUGGCCGCGUCGCCGUGAACCAUCGCGGUCGGUCGGGCGACAGGACCCUCGUAUUCGUGGUCCGGAACAGGAAAGACCUGGUGGAGAAGGUGAUUCCUUUCUUCGACGCAAACCCCAUCCUGUCGAGCAAGGCACGAGAGUUCGACGCCUUCCGUCGAGUAGUGAUCGCCAUGACAAAGGGCGAACACUUGGAACGGAAGGGUUUCGACUCUCUGGUGCGGAUCGCCCUCAGCAUGAAUGGAGAGGGUCGAUACCGGAAAUGGCGGCUCGACGAUGUGAUAGGCCCGGGAACCCUCAGAGGCCAUACGCCGGACACCGAUCAUACGGAUCGGUGAAGAGAUGGUCCGACCCCCAUGGCGACAUGGGGAGCCAGGCGGAACAGAAACGACCUGGCCGCCGGAGACUCUGUCUCCGGAGGUAACAGAAGUGUCGGUCCCUAUCCGCCGCAGGCGUAGGAGGCUUGAGGGGAGCUGUCCCUAGUACGAGAGGACCGGGAUGGACGUACCUCUGGUGUGCGAGUUGUCCUGCCAAGGGCACGGCUCGUUGGCUAUGUACGGACGGGAUAAGCGCUGAAGGCAUCUAAGUGCGAAGCCCACCCCAAGAUCAGGCCUCCCACGGGGUAACCCGGUAAGGCCCCUGGUAGAUGACCAGGUCGAUAGGCCGGAGGUGUAAGCACGGCAACGUGUUCAGCCGACCGGUACUAAUAGGCCGAGGGCUUGG